rnacentral:misc_RNA from 1 species
UCUCCGUAGGUGAACCUGCGGAGGGAUCAUUACUGAGUGAGGGUCUCCGGGCCCGACCUCCAACCCUUUGUGAACACAACUUGUUGCUUCGGGGGCGACCCUGCCGUUUCGACGGCGUGGGGCCCCGGAGCCCUUCAAACCCUGCGUAACUGAGUCGUCGGAGUUUAAACAAAUUAAACAAAACUUUCAACAACGGAUCUCUUGGUUCGGGCAUCGAUGAAGAACGCAGC